GCCAAGGUCAGGCUGGACGGGCUGUGAGCACUGAUGGAGCUGUGGGUGUCCCUGCUCAGUUCAGGGGGGGUUGGGGCAGAUGGCCUUUAAGUGGCCCUUCCAGCUCAAACGGUUCUAUGAUUCCACGAUGCAAAGAGCAGGACUGAAGAAGGGAGUGUUUUUCGUUGUGGAGAGGGGCGUUAUGAGACCACCUCUGCAGCUCUCCUGCAGGUCGCCUCCCUUCAGAAAGCUGCACGGCUGGGGUAGAACAACGUUCUUAAACCACAUCCAGGAACAAUCACAGAAUAUCUUAUUUUGGAAAGGGCCCACAGGGAUCAUCGAGUCCCACUCCUGGUUCAGAGAACACUGAAGUGUCUAAGGCACGAUUUUCCUCCUUUUGCUACCUGGUUCUUCACAGCUUUAGUAGAGGAGAGCAGAAGAGCAACACACCUGAGCAACACUUUGAGCUGAAGUGCCUACACAGACUGCAGAAGGCAAAAGAAGAAAAAAAGAUGACAACUCUGGUUUACUGUUGUUUGAGCACGGGGAUAAAGCUAGUGGGAAUCCUUUGUUGGCUUGAAUUAACAGCACUGCGAUCAGAGACCAGAGAAUUGCACAGUGUCCAUCUUGCAUGAAAGCUUGCAAGAAUUUGUUGUAGAUCUGGCUAAGAAAUCUGUCUGUGAUGCCCAACAGCCUUCAGCAUCCAGAAGAGCUCUCCUACAUGGCAGCACAGCAAGCUUCUUAAGAUGGGGUCUGGGAAUUUCUAAGGACUUUGAAAUACACCCCACAAUACAAGGGGGCAUAUUAAAGCCUAAUAAUGGUCACUUAGAUUAAAAUGAGAUAAACUACAAUGGUAGUGCAAACAUUUUUCGACUAAUUUGUUCUUGUUUUAAUGACCUUUUUGUGGUUAACUGUGUUGUGUUUUUGUGUAACUUUCAGAAAUGCCAGGCUUUGUUUUGGAGUUCACAAUACACAAGACUUUUUCAAGCUGAUUUUCCUCAUGUUUUAAUCCUGAACUAUGAAGUUAGUUUUAUAGGUUUGAAUUAUGAUGUCUAGCAUGUAUAACGCCUUUCAAAACAUCAUUACUAGGAUUUGCUAUAGGAACAGCACUGAAAUUGAAACUCCUCGCUUACUCUUUCUGGAAACUAUGUAUGCACAAAGUGAAUGAGUCAAAAUUAAGACAUGCCAUCUGAUUAUAACUCAAUGGGUGGGAGGGACAAAGUCCUUGUGCUUUGAACUAGUUAGAUAUAAAUACAGAGCUAGCUGGCAAAGGUCUGCUCAGAGGAAUGGGAGGCCCCAGAUAGUGGGAAGUACUCCCAGUAUCCUAAAUAAUAGACACUCCAAUAUAAUUAUUAAGCCCGGUGUCCUCUGGGGAGAGAUUAAAGGAUAGCAGAGUGAUGCAGACUUCUAAGGGAGGAAAUGUUUCUUUUCAAGUGGAAAAAUGAGAGAAGAGUCUAGAGUGAAAAUUAAGGAGGUAGAAAUCCUCAUAGUCAAGAGGCUUACACUGUUUAAGCAUACUAUUGCAGGGCCAUAAAAGGCAUACAUGCAGUAUAUCUGUAAGCAAAGCAAAGUGAAACAGAGCAGAAGGCGAAAAGAAAGUUAC
ensembl:lncRNA